GUCUAGUGAAAGUAAAAAGAAGAAAAACAGAGCUAAGCCAAGGAAAUGAUUUCUUUCCCACCUACAAUGCAUGAAAAGAAAUUAACAUGAAAAGGGUCUGAGGAAGACAUUAAUAUUUUGAUAGUGGCAGAAGAAUGUUAUUUACAAAAAUAAUGACAAAUGUUGAAGAGAAAAUACAGGCUUCCUAGCAACUAGACCAAAGAUAAGAUGCUGUUGAAUUCAAGAUAGACAUUUGGAAUAUACAGUUAGCUGUCAUUUGAACACAGGCCCAUGGCACAAGUUCAGAAACGUAAAGUUACAGAGAAAAUAAAGACCCCCAGAGCAAAAUCACCACAGUCUCCAUGGAAAUCAAUUGGUUCAUUCUUCGUCUUAAGAGUCCAGCAUUCACUCAACAAACAUCUUAUGCUGCCAGGUUUCUCUAAUGCAGCAGGUACGGUCACUAGGAAGAUUACAAACUUGGGUUAAAAAACCUAGAUCACGUUCAAGAUGUUGCAGCUGAGCAGUUACAAUCCAAGAGACUAGGCCCAGACAGAAGGAUAUGCCACAGCAGGAGACAGGAUCCAGAAUGAGAAUAGACAAAAGACAUUUUCAAAAGUCCAGGUUCACAGCUUGACAGAAGCCUUCACACAGAAAGAGCCAUUGCACAUUGGACAGAUGAUCCCAGAAUGGAAGUUUCCAGAGGAAAUAACAGUCAAUAAACAGCACAGGGGUUGAUCCCAGGAUUCUGUGCCUGCUAAGCAAACAUUCUGUCACAGAGCUACACCUCCCGUUCCAGAUGAAUUACUGGUGUGAUGAAUUUGACUUCAACUUAAUGACACAACUUGUAAUGUUACCAAAAAAAAAAAAAAAAAAAGGAAUAAUUCCACAAGGCAAACAUUCAAACAUAAAUCCACGAAGUUGAACGUCAUCAGCGAUCUGAUUCAUUUUAUGAUUAGAAUAACAUUCCUUAAUAAUUCUUAUAUAACAUGGCUUGAGAUACCCAAAGUACAUAUUUUCUAUCAACACAAAUGCUUCUUCACCAUGUAUCCUAGGAAAAAAAUCACCUAGGGGUGAUUAUUAAAAAAAAAAAAAAAA
rnacentral:lncRNA from 1 species